GCGGGUAUAGUAUAAUGGUAAUAUGUAUCCUUCCCAAGGAUAAGCCACGGGUUCGAUUCCCGUUACCCGCUCUA
rnacentral:tRNA from 2 species